rnacentral:rRNA from 1 species
AAGAUUUAUCGCCUGUGGAUGAGCCCUCGUUGGAUUAGGUAGUUGGUGGGGUAAAGGCCUACCAAGCCGACGAUCCAUAGCUGGUCUGAGAGGAUGAUCAGCCACACUGGGACUGAGACACGGCCCAGACUCCUACGGGAGGCAGCAGUGGGGAAUAUUGGACAAUGGGCGCAAGCCUGAUCCAGCAAUGCCGCGUGAGUGAUGAAGGCCCUAGGGUUGUAAAGCUCUUUUACCCGGGAAGAUAAUGACUGUACCGGGAGAAUAAGCCCCGGCUAACUCCGUG